rfam:Coprinopsis cinerea okayama7#130 chromosome 3 cont3.3, whole genome shotgun sequence.
GGCCUGAUGGUCUAGUAGUAUGAUUCCUUGUUAGGGAGCAGCAGGCGCUAACCGCGUAGGCUUGCGAAUUUCGAGGAGGUCCCGGGUUCAAUUCCCGGUCAGGCCC